rnacentral:lncRNA from 1 species
CCUCCCCCGCCGCCGCCAUGGACCCCGUCGCCACAUGGGGUCUGACCCCGCUCGCCGGCGCCGACCCGGAGAUCUACGACCUCCUCGAGCGCGAGAAGCGGCGCCAGCGUCGCGGCAUCGAGCUCAUCGCCUCUGAGAACUUCACCUCCUUCGCCGUCAUGGAGGCGCUCGGCUCCGCGCUCACCAACAAGUACUCCGAGGGCAUGCCCGGCGCCCGCUACUACGGCGGCAACGACGUCAUCGACGAGAUCGAGAACCUCUGCCGCUCCCGCGCGCUCGCCGCCUUCCGCCUCGACCCGGCCUCCUGGGGCGUCAACGUGCAGCCCUACUCGGGCUCCCCCGCCAACUUCGCCGCCUACACUGCCCUGCUCAACCCGCACGACCGGAUCAUGGGCCUCGACCUCCCCUCCGGCGGACACCUCACCCACGGGUACUACACCUCCGGCGGGAAGAAGAUCUCCGCCACCUCGAUCUACUUCGAGAGUCUGCCGUACAAGGUGAGCGCCACCACCGGCUACAUCGACUACGAGAAGCUCGAGGAGAAGGCCCUCGACUUCCGCCCCAAGCU